rnacentral:rRNA from 1 species
AUACGUAGGGGGCGAGCGUUGUCCGGAAUGAUUGGGCGUAAAGGGCGCGUAGGCGGCCUGUUAAGUCUGGAGUGAAAGUCCUGUUUUCAAGAUGGGAAUUGCUUUGGAUACUGAUGGGCUUGAGUGCAGGAGAGGUUAUCGGAAUUCCCGGUGUAGCGGUGAAAUGCGUAGAGAUCGGGAGGAACACCAGUGGCGAAGGCGGGUAACUGGACUGCAACUGACGCUGAGGCGCGAAAGUGUGGGGAGCAAACAGGAUUAGAUACCCUGGUAGUCCACACUGUAAACGAUGAAUGCUAGGUGUAAGAGGUAUCGACCCCUUUUGUGCCGGAGUUAACACAAUAAGCAUUCCGCCUGGGGAGUACGGCCGCAAGGUUGAAACUCAAAGGAAUGGACGGGG